GACGAACGCUGGCGGCGUGCUUAACACAUGCAAGUCGAACGAAGUGGCGAACGGGUGAGUAACGCGUAAUCAACCUGCCCUUCAGAGGGGGACAACAGUUGGAAACGACUGCUAAUACCGCAUACUGAAGGAGGGGAUUGCGUUGGAUUAGCUAGUUGGAGGGGUAACGGCCCACCAAGGCGAUGAUCAGUAGCCGGUCUGAGAGGAUGAACGGCAAAAGUGGGAAUGGGACACGGACCAAACUCCGACGGGAGGGAGCAGUGGGGAAUAUUCCGAAAUGGAGGAAAGUCUUAAGGAGCAACGCCGCGUGGGUGAUGACGGCCUUCGGGUUGUAAAGCUCUGUUAAUCGGGACGCGGUACCGGAAUAGAAAGCCACGGCUAACUACGUGCCAGCAGCCGCGGUAAUAC
rnacentral:rRNA from 1 species